UUUCUGUUGGUCCAGCAUAUAAGACUCUGCACUCACAAUGCAGGGGACCCAGGUUCAAUCCCUGGUCAGGGAA
rnacentral:tRNA from 1 species